CCCAGCCGAUGGCCUUCUUCCUACCCUCCAAUCUCCCUUACAUGCUUUCCUUUGCCGUAAAUCAUUUUUAAAAAGAAUGAAAUAAAAAGAAAACAAGGGGAAAUGGAAAGGAAAUGACCUAUCUAUAUGGAAAAAACAAUUGACCUUUCAAUUUAUUCCAUCUUUCUUUUAUUCCCAUUGAUUUUUCUUCAAUUUUUUUCUAAUUUUUCCUCUAUGUUUUCCAUCCUC
rnacentral:lncRNA from 1 species